AUUGAACGCUGGCGGCAUGCUUUACACAUGCAAGUCGAACGGUAACAGGCCUUCGGGUGCUGGCGAGUGGCGGACGGGUGAGUAAUGCAUCGGAACGUACCCAGAGGUGGGGGAUAACGCAGCGAAAGCUGUGCUAAUACCGCAUGUGAUCUGAGGAUGAAAGCGGGGGACCGAGCAGCAAUGUUUGGCCUCGCGCCUUUGGAGCGGCCGAUGUCGGAUUAGCUAGUUGGUGGGGUAAAGGCCUACCAAGGCGACGAUCCGUAGCUGGUCUGAGAGGACGACCAGCCACACUGGGACUGAGACACGGCCCAGACUCCUACGGGAGGCAGCAGUGGGGAAUUUUGGACAAUGGGCGCAAGCCUGAUCCAGCAAUGCCGCGUGCGGGAAGAAGGCCUUCGGGUUGUAAAACGCUUUUGGCAGGAACGAAACGGUGUCCGCUAAUACCGGGCGCUAAUGACGGUACCUGCAGAAUAAGCACCGGCUAACUACGUG
rnacentral:rRNA from 1 species